GAUGAACGCUGGCGGCGUGCCUAAUACAUGCAAGUCGAGCGAAUGGAUUAAGAGCUUGCUCUUAUGAAGUUAGCGGCGGACGGGUGAGUAACACGUGGGUAACCUGCCCAUAAGACUGGGAUAACUCCGGGAAACCGGGGCUAAUACCGGAUAACAUUUUGAACCGCAUGGUUCGAAAUUGAAAGGCGGCUUCGGCUGUCACUUAUGGAUGGACCCGCGUCGCAUUAACUAGUUGGUGAGGUAACGGCUCACCAAAGCAACGAUGCGUAGCCGACCUGAGAGGGUGAUCGGCCACACUGGGACUGAGACACGGCCCAGACGCCUACGGGAGGUAGCAGUAGGGAAUCUUCCGCAAUGGACGAAAGUCUGACGGAGCAACGCCGCGUAAGUGAUGAAGGCUUUCGGGUCGUAAAACUCUGUUGUUAGGGAAGAACAAGUGCUAGUUGAAUAAGCUGGCACCUUGACGGUACCUAACCAGAAAGCCACGGCUAACUACGUGCCAGCCGCCGCAGUAA
rnacentral:rRNA from 1 species